rnacentral:lncRNA from 1 species
AUUCUCCACCAAUCUGUUACCAGCUCAUGGCAUCCAAUUUACAGACUAUGUUACUUAAAUUCUCCAUCAGUGUUGCAUUACUGCCUGUGCAGUUUACGUGGCCCAAAGGAAUACACCUUAUAUGCAAAACCAAGAAUGUAUUGUUAGCUUAAUUAAAGUUGUAACAGUCUAAUAAAAUAUUUUUAGUUCAGUUACAAUGAAGCUAACACUGAAAGUUCACAUUAUAUAUAGUUAAAUCUGAUGCAUACAUUUUUCUUCUACCUCUUUCUCUGAUGCUACGCUCUUUGUUGUGCCCCUUUGUCUCCUGAGAUGGAUGAUUUCAGCCAGGGAAAAGAGAGUUCAUGUGAGUUGUCAGCAUCUGAUAUGCUUUGCCAAGAGGUGUAUUUUGCUGAUGUCUCUCACAAAGAAAAUACAAAUCUGGAAAAUUCUGGAGUUCACUUCAUUCUAGAUGAACUAUGAAAAUCUGAGGUUUUAUCUUACAGGAAAACGGAAGGUUUGAGACAGCAACUGGAUGGUUGAAGGUGCUUCAUC